UUAGAUGGCCAUAAGCAAAAACAACCCGUGACAAAAUAUACAAGAAACCCCAAGAUAGAAAUAAAUCCAACAAAUGGGAACUGAAACCAAACAGGCCUAGCUAGGCAACUCAAAACAAAACGUGAUGAUUUUCAGCAUUGGAUUUGCAACUUUCAUCAACCCCAAUGCAAAGUCUAUGGUCAAAUAGAGCACAUAUAGAAUAAUAUAUAUAACUGUUGCCCUUAGAAAAGAAGCCCAAAAACAGACUAUUUCCUUGGAUCCCAUCCAUAUCAAAGCACCAAGGAAGAUGUGCGAACACUGCAUCUCAUGAGCUUGUGACUAGGCAAUGAAGAUCCAACAUAGUUUCUACUUUGCAAGUCAAGCAUUUGCUGCAAGCAGUUGCAGAACAGGCAGGUGCGCUAGCUAAACCUUGUCCUUUGCUCUAGCGAGUCUUUUAAUUAUAUGAAUUUUAUUCAAUUAUGUGGCAGCUCGAUCUAGUUGUUUCUCUUUUUGCCCCUUCUUGAUUUUGUUUUUAGGGUUUGUUCUGUUCUCUCCGUUGAUUUUGCUAAGCGAAAAAAGACACAGAGGCCUAACAUUCAAAAACACACAUGGAUUGCCUCUUUAACAUAUUCUGUUUGAGAUAUAUAUAUAUAUAUAUAUGGCCCCUAGCCGCCGCUGCAUUAAUGUCUCGACGUCGUCGUCGUUGCGGCGGUUGUUGCCUCCUUUCACCACCCAUCUCAUCUAUUACACUACCUUCAGCCAUCCCUUCUCCUUUUUGUUUCCCCAAUAUCGUUUGGCUAAAACCCUAGUUUUCCCCAAAAUCCCUGCUCGCUACUUCCCUCACCCUUCCCCUCUCUUCGCCAGUCUCACCCUCUCAUUUGCAUCCUCCAUCCCCUCGGUCUCUUGGAGUUGGGGCAUGGUUGCAUAUAUUGGCUUUAUCUACGUGCAGUUUCGGUUCUCAGAUCUAGUGAAAGUUUAGCGCAAAUCCCUCUCCACGACACAAAUCGAUGUUUGUUGGGUAUGAUCUUCAUAGACCAUUUGCAUCACUUCUCUGGAAUAAGGAACGCUGAUGAAGCUGGAAUGUACAAAGUAAUUCUCCUAUGGGGCUUUGCUACUCUCGUGGGAAUGGAGACUUUGUCUUGAUUCCCAUUUGCUGCGGCCUUGUUGAAUCAUUUUUCCACCUUCCAAGGGAAUCAAAAGCUAAUUCAUUUAGCCCUUAAACAUGGAGUCUUGCCGUUGUUGGUCUCACCCGUUACUCCCAAUUCAGCCAUAGUGCGUCUUGAAGCUGUUCAUCAGGAAGCAAUCCAAAUAUUUUGAGAUCAAUCAGCUAACCAGGCAAGCAAGAGAAGAGAAAUUAAGAAGAUCAGCUGUCAGGUGUUUCCUAGAGUUCCCUCUGAACACUUCAAUAUUUUAGGACUCUUCGCAAUCCUAAACUGAGGGAAGCCCUGACCUUACUGUACUGAAGUGUUUGGGGGAACUCUGGUUGCCAUCUGACAUUGCUUAGGUGGCAAGAGUAAAUAUUGAUGAUGAUUUUGGCUCAGUUUACUGGAUACCCAUUGAUCAGAAUUGCCUAUUUUCAAAAUGAAGAGUAAGUUUCUCUUUGAUAAUUCUAUAUAUGCUUUUUUUUUCUCUCAUCAUAUUCUUAACAUCAUAUUUGCUCCUCAAGAUUUUAGAUGCGAACUGAUCAAAGAAGGCUAAUCUGGGGUUUAAAAGUGUGAAUUUGUAUUGUAAUUGACACAAGCUAUUUGCACCAAGCGUUAAUUAUGCAGAAAUCACUGAUAAUUAACAAUGGAGACAUUGAUGUGAUGCAGACCAAUAAAGUUAUAUGGAGGCUGUCUGUGGCAACAUAAUUAAUAAACAAGUUACACAUCUGUGCACUUGGGAAUAAUUUUUUUUUCUUUUGUCUAAAUUUCAAAAAACAGUUUCUGGGCAUCUUAUCAGUUUUUAUAGAAUAGAAACGUAAAUUUGGUGAACUUUUCGGUCGAUUUCACAUUGACUCUGCGAGAUCGAGGCCAAUGGUGUUGAUGAUGUUGUUGCAUGGAUGUUGAUGCAGUUGGCAUGCAUGAUUAUAGACAGUACAUGAAGCGAGUGGAUAAAGGUAAAAAUACAACAUAUGGGACAAUGGCUUCAACAACGAUGAGCUUGAAUUCUCAGGAAAAAAAAACAAAAACAAAAAAAAACGAUGAGUUCCGACCAGUUCAAAAUGAUUGAAAAAAAAAAAACUCUUAGGAAAAGGUGGCUGUAAAUAAUUAAUUAGACCUAAUUGGAAUUGUCAUGUCGGAUUGUUUAAGAAUGUAGUUCCUAAAUAUUACAUUUUGUUCUCUUGUGGCGGAGACUAUGGAUAUUCAUUUUCUUAGAGAA